rnacentral:tRNA from 1 species
GGGGUUGUGGCUCAGUGGUCGAGGGCUUGCCUAGCAUGUAUGAGGCACUGGGUUCAACUCUCAGCACCACA